rnacentral:rRNA from 1 species
AUGCAACGUCGCAAAAGCAUGUCAGUGAUUGAGAAGGGGGAGUCAAGUGCUCAGAGGAAGGCCAAUUAUGCCAGAAGAAAAAACACCCCAUGCAACGAAUCCAUCGCGCUCCCACGUCCAGACCUAGCAAACUCAACCUCUGAAUGUCCCACUUUAAUCUGCCGCGCAUCAUCCGUCUCUCGGGUCGCCGAAGAUGAUUCAUCUGAUGGCGACCCUCCGACGAACAAGACGAAUUACAUUGUUGGUAUCGAAGGUAUGAAAUUGCUAAUGUCACUUUCUUCUGCUCAUUAUCAGCAACCAUCUUCUAACAUGAUGUUAUCUACUGUGACAUUCGCAACGACGAAUGUCCAGAGGACAUCGAAUUUUUACAAAGCGGCAUCGUGGGCGAUGAGCCGACAGCAGCCGAAUUGA